UAUGGGGUCACUUUGGGGUCACUUUGGGGUCUCUAUGGGGUCUCUCUGGUCCGUCCCUGCAGUCCCUGGCAGCGGUGGCUCGCGCCCCACGGGAGGAGCUGUCACUGUGCCCAGGGAUCGGACCCCAGAAGGCCAAGCGUCUCUACGAAGCCCUGCACGAACCCUUCCUGAAAGCACCCAAAAACCCCAAAUCUUCGCUUUUAUCCUAAAAAAACGACGACCCCAUAAACACAGCAACUGCA